AGCAGCCGCGGUAAUUCCAGCUCCAAUAGCGUAUAUUAAAGUUGUUGCAGUUAAAAAGCUCGUAGUUGAAUUUCGGGAUCAAUAUUUCGGUCAUGCCGUUGGUAUGCACUGUUAUCAUUGAUUUCUCACCUUCUAAAGAACCGUAAUGCCAUUAAUUUGGUGUUACGGGGAAUUAGGACUGUUACCUUGAGAAAAUUAGAGUGUUUAAAGCAGGCUCACGCUUGAAUACAUUAGCAUGGAAUAAUGAAAUAGGACAUCCGAUUCUAUUUUGUUGGUUUCUAGGAUCGAUGUAAUGAUUAAUAGGGAUAGUUGGGGGCAUUAGUAUUCAAUUGUCAGAGGUGAAAUUCUUGGAUUUAUUGAAGACUAACUACUGCGAAAGCAUUUGCCAAGGAUGUUUUCAUUAAUCAAGAACGAAAGUUAGGGGAUCGAAGACGAUCAGAUACCGUCGUA
rnacentral:rRNA from 1 species